CCAGCUAAGUUUGUUCUGGGUAUAAGUUUUCGUGUGCAGGCACACUGAAGUAUCUGAAGAAGGUAUCUGAAGAAGUGUGCAUGCACACGAAAGCUUAUACCCAGAACAAACUUAGUUGG